CUCUCCCUCAUUUUUCUUCUUUUGUGUAGCCACCGCCCCUUCCUUCUCUCAUCAGUCCAACAAUAUCGCUCAAAUCUGUGAAAAAACCAUGCUCACCGUUACUCUCUUCGUCCAGAAAAUGAUCAAUCUCUCUUCAUCUCUCAUCUCUACUCUCUUUGUCUAGAAAAAGAUCAAACCCUAACAUCCAAAUUCCAGAAACAUAUCACAAUUAAUUUUAGAAGUUAUAUUUGUGAACGGAAAGAAGGUUGCUAGCAGAUAUUUUGAGAGUUUCUAUGGUUUUCUAUCUGAUUAUCGAAGUGAUCUUCUUCAGGGGUGACAGAGUUAGACAAGUUGAGUUUCAUUCACUGAUCCCAAAUCCACCCACAGAAGAGUAGAAGCUUUUUGAAGAGAAAAAGAAGUUAAAGAAGAGGUGUGUUGUUAUGAAGCUUAGGAGUUAUGGUCAACUGAGAUUAACUUCACAGUUUUAAGAGGUUGUAUCAUACUUAAUGACAGUCCCUAAACAGAAAUGGGAGUUCCCAGUUGUUGCAUUGGUAAAUUUCAUAACCUCUUGUAAGGAAGAAGAUAUCAUAAAAAUGGUGACGAAGAUUCUUAGGUUUUGGUGUGAAGCAUCACUGCAAUAAUGUCUGGUGUAAAGAUGAUGCUAUUCUCUGGUGUAAAGAUGAUGCUAUUCUCUGGUGUGAACUGUGAAGUGUCACUGCAUCACUAUAAUUGUAAUUUAUGCUGGCUGUUUUAUUUUAUCUUGGCUUGCCUUGUCAUGUUACUUCACUUAUGAUGGACAACGGCAACAAUUAUUUUAUUUUUACUGGGUAUCAUGUUCCAACUGAAUGAUGGACAACAAUAUUAGUUGAUCCUUAAAAUAUCAGUACAUUAUGUUUAAAUUUAUAGAUCUU